ACGAUUGACGUUAUUGGUCAAAGCCGACAGCGGACAGAUUAUAUUCCCUGCUUCAUUAGACCAGAAGUGCUACGCUCGUGACUGGCUUGACGAUAAUUUACGUCUUGUAAGCGUGUGUGGUCGGAUGUGCUCGAUAAAAUUCAAAACAAAAUUGUGAUACUUAAAUGUCUACUGGCAAUUUAUAGUUACGGCAGUUACAUGAAUUGUUCCUGUGAACACGACCCUAUUCCAGGAAGUGAACAUUGGUGAACGUUAAUUAUUAGCCCAUUUGUCGCUUCCUCGUGUUGCCGGGAAGGAAGACCCACUGGUUGAUUUCGCUCCUGUUUAUAAGUUCCCUGCAGCACAAACCAAAUCGGAGAAGUUGACGCCUGUGAACAUUAAUCGUCAGCCUAUUUGUUGCCGCAAUGGAAGAAUCGCUGGACGCUUCGUUGCCGGUCGACACGAAUCACUUUACUCCAGACCAGUUUGAACCGACAGACUUGGUGGAGUGGUAAAACGUAAACCAAAUGCUGUGCCAACAAUUUUUGGUGAUCGUAAAGCUCCUGCCGAGAGGAAACCUGUUGGCCUACUGGAGAAACGUACUGAGGAUACAGAGGUUGGAGAGCCUUCGAAUGUGACCAAUGACGUCAGUCCUGCAGCGAACUUGGACACGACAGAAGAUGAAGUCACCACCCUGAAGAACCUAGCUUCAGGCUGGAACUGAAGCUUUCAAGAGAAAACUCACCCUCUCUCAGAAAAGGGAGAGAAGAGUGUCUUUAGAAAAAGACAGCCUCUUUGCGAGUCUGCACGGUUUAUUCGGUGCAGAUCAGUUUGUAGUAUGAGUGAAGGGGACACGUUAGGGGGGCAAAUGGUCAGUGGAAAGGGCUAAAAAUUCGACCACCUUGUAGUAGUAUGGGGUACAAAGUCCUGCUGGAAAAUAAGUUACCAUUUCCUUCAGAUAGAACCCCAAUAUGUUCGCUACAGACCAUAAAAUUUAGACCUGGUGUGCCGAGGGAGCUCGUGAGUUUCCUGAAAGUCAAGCUUGCCCUCAUGUUACCAGUGGAGAUGCAUCCUGUUCUCCUGAUGGACGAGGUUAGUAUCACUCACCAUUGGAAUGUGGUUGAGCAUUGGCUGCACCAUUGAUAAUGAUACGACACCUCCACCAGAUCUCGCCCUUGCAAAAACUAUAGCUUCUAAUGCAUCAGUUGUUAUGCUGGGUGGUAUUACCUCAAGAUGGAAACAAACAAUAGGUUACCAUUACACAGGGCCAUCUUUUUCCAGUUCUCACCCCAGACAUUACUAUAAGCUUUAUUAGGGAAUCUUAGGCACUCGUACAAUGUUCGCUGCAUCGCGUCAGUGACGGGAGGGCAGAAUUGAGCUGUAUGGCGAGAAUUUGGAAUUGUUGUCGAAAGGUUUUCAAAAUUAGUUUCUGCCAGUGUCUUUGUGAUGAUAAUUGGAAACUAAUUUUCCUCACAGAUACACCACACAUUUUGAAAAAACGAGGAUUCACUUAGUCAAUGGGCAAUCGGUCUUCCUCUGACGAAAUGUUGUCAAGGGACAUGAUCUGCCUUGUAAUGAGGUACAUAUAAAUCGUGUAUAACAGUGGCUUGAGGUAGACAGUGGUUUAAGUCUUAAACUGGCACCAAAACUGUGUGAGGGAUGUCUGAGGCCAAACCAUUACGAGAAAAUGAAAGUUGGCUCAUCUACUGCCAUAAUUAACAGCCAGACUGCAGCAGCCAGUGAGUGUGCUGUAAAGACAGAGAAACUGCAGAAAAAUACUUUAACCACAGCACAGUUGCUAAAGCACGUUCGUGAGUGGUCUUGCCUCAUGACAUCCAGAGCUCCAGUUAUGCCUCUGAGUCGUUCUGAUCAACAAACAUACAGUGAGGCUCUCUGCCAUCUUCAGGACACUCUGUGAUUAUUUGAAAACUUGAAAAUUGGUCUGAACAGUGCCUGGAAACCAGUUCAGUGUGGUGUAGUUUUGACAGCUGGAGGUAUUUUGGAAUUGCAGAACACAUUCCUGAAUGAGAAGAAAUUUAAAUUUUUGCUAAUAACUAGAUAUAGACAAGAUACCUUGAAAAAUCUGUUAGCAAUGCUCCACUUCAAAAAUCCAGUACCAACACUAUGAGAAGUAAAAUCGUCACUGAGGGUUAUUACUCUUUCUCAGUUCUUUAAUACUGUCACUGAUAUUGUGCUGAGGAAGUUGGUGAGCCACUUUGUAACAUGGUGUGUGGUCACACUGUCAGGCAGGGUAUGAAGUCUCAUGCACUUUGUUAAUUUUUCGAGGAGCGCCUAAUAGCGUGCAAAGAAAAUCUCUGUACCUGUGUGAACGUGCUUUUACAUAUGAAGUCCUUCACGGAUACCUCACUUAUUGAGCCAUCAAGUGAGGUUUUCAGUGUGUUGCGAAAGGCAGAGAUGUGUUUGAGAAGCAACAAGAAGAAAUUACUCUCAGGUGAAUUGUUGCUCUGUGAUGUAGCCACUGCCGUGCCUGCAUCAGUGAAGGAGAAAGUAGUUUUCCCAGCCUGCCACAGUGCACAGGAGAAAAUAAUUCACAGUUUCCUGGCAACAAGAAUUCAUCUGGUUCCAAGGGAGGGAAAUAAAAUAUAUCAGGGUGUAGUGACACAAAGCAGUAGAAGCAGGCCAUGAGAAAGUUACUGCAGAAACUGUGAUUUCCAAAAUCACUCUUUAGUAAAUGAUUUGAAAAAUUGACAUUCAAACUUCAUUUGGUUGCCAUUUUCUCUUAAAGUGGUCUCAUUAUUGUUUCAAUCACAGUGAUUUUUAUAAAUUUUUGUUCUAUGUUUCUUUCUGAGUAUGGAGUAUUUUUAU